rfam:Pseudozyma antarctica T-34 DNA, contig: scaffold00012.
GGCAAGAUGGCCGAGUGGUCUAAGGCGUAGCAUUAAGGAAGAUAUCCUGAGUAUUCAGGAAGUGACCUGCUAUCUUCGGGCGUGGGUUCGAAUCCCACUCUUGUCA